rnacentral:rRNA from 1 species
CCUACGGGAGGCUGCAGUCGAGAAUAAUUCACAAUGGGGGCAACCCUGAUGGUGCAACGCCGCGUGGAGGAUGAAGGUCUUCGGAUUGUAAACUCCUGUCAUCCGGGAGCAAGACUUGACGGUUAACAGCCGGCAGGGUUGAUAGUACCGGAAGAGGAAGGGACGGCUAACUUCGUGCCAGCAGCCGCGGUAAUACGAAGGUCCCGAGCGUUGUUCGGAAUCACUGGGCGUAAAGGGAGCGUAGGCGGCGUGGUAAGUCAGAUGUGAAAUCCCGG